rnacentral:rRNA from 1 species
CCUACGGGAGGCAGCAGUAGGGAAUCUUCCACAAUGGGCGAAAGCCUGAUGGAGCAACGCCGCGUGGGUGAAGAAGGUCUUCGGAUCGUAAAACUCUGUUGUUAGAGAAGAAAGUGCGUGAGAGUAACUGUUCACGUUUCGACGGUAUCUAACCAGAAAGCCACGGCUAACUACGUGCCAGCAGCCGCGGUAAUACGUAGGUGGCAAGCGUUAUCCGGAUUUAUUGGGCGUAAGGGGAACGCAGGCGGUCUUUUAAGUCUGAUGUGAAAGCCUUCGGCUUAACCGGAGUAGGUCAUUGGAAACUGGGAGACUUGAGUGCAGAAGAGGAGAGUGGAACUCCAUGUGUAGCGGUGAAAUGCGUAGAUAUAUGGAAGAACACCAGUGGCGAAGGCGGCUCUCUGGUCUGUAACUGACGCUGAGGUUCGAAAGCGUGGGUAGCAAACAGGAUUAGAUACCCUUGUAGUC